UACGUAGGUGACAAGCGUUGUCCGGAUUUACUGGGCGUAAAGAGCGCGCAGGCGGUCGUUCAAGUCGAAUGUGAAAGCCCCCGGCUCAACUGGGGAGGGUCAUUCGAUACUGAUCGACUCGAAGGCAGGAGAGGGUAGUGGAAUUCCCGGUGUAGUGGUGAAAUGCGUAGAUAUCGGGAGGAACACCAGUGGCGAAGGCGACUACCUGGCCUGUUCUUGACGCUGAGGCGCGAAAGCUAGGGGAGCAAACGGG
rnacentral:rRNA from 1 species